rnacentral:rRNA from 1 species
UACGAAGGGGGCUAGCGUUGUUCGGAAUCACUGGGCGUAAAGGGCGCGUAGGCGGCUUGAUAAGUCGGGGGUGAAAGCCUGUGGCUCAACCACAGAAUUGCCUUCGAUACUGUCUGGCUUGAGACCGGAAGAGGUAAGUGGAACUGCGAGUGUAGAGGUGAAAUUCGUAGAUAUUCGCAAGAACGACCAGUCGGCGAAGGCGGAGCU